UUUAACAGUUUCAGGUCACUCCAUGGGAUACGUAUUUGAUAUCCAGGACCCAUCAGCAAGGUCAGCGCAACCUUAGAGCUUCUCUUCUGACUCCCAUAGGCAAUCCUCCUGCCUCAGCCUCCGGAGUCCUGGGAUUACAAUUCUGAACCACCACACCUGGCCUCCCUUACUGCGAAGUGACCCAUCCCAGGAGUCCCUUCUGUGUAGCUGGCUCACUGCUAGCCCAUGUCACGGACACAGAGGAAGCAGAAGAGCCCCUACCCUCAGUCCUGCAGAAGAGGCAGGUCCAGCCUCAGAGAGGGGAAGCCAGGCUGUUUAUUGAGCUGGUACCAAGAGUGAUAUGGAUCGCAGGGCCUUCCACAUGCUAAGUAUCCGUUCUGUCACUGAGCUGGACUCAGCAGGAGGCAGAAGCAGAAGGAUGGGAUGUCAGACAUGGGUAUGGAGCAGAGACACAGAUGCUGGUGAAAGACCCAUACAGGUAAAGUGAUAAGAUAAACUACAAAAGCAAAGGUUCGUUGCUCAGUCACGUGACCUGUCCAGAUUCUAAUCCUGCCUCUCUCCUCCCUCGAUUCUUCCUUUGCUUUCUUCUUCCCCCCAUCUCUCCCUUCCUUGAGAGAAGAAAAGAAAACCUUUUUCUUUUACAGUAUGGAUACUUAAAUUCCUAAACAGUUCAAAAUUGGCAAGGUGGUUCAGUAUUGGUAAAAUGGAUUGGGUUCCACAUCCCAGCUUCAUUUCUUUUUUUUUUUUUUUCUUUUCUUUUUUCCGGAGCUGGGGACUGAACCCAGGGCCUUGCGCUUGCUAGGCAAGCGCUCUACCACCGAGCUAAAUCCCCAACCCCCCAGCUUCAUUUCUUGUUCUUCAACUACUCUCUCUCUGUUGUUGCAGAAUUCACAUCUCUUGUCUGUGUGCAAACUCAUCUAAGAGUUGUACAGGAACCCUGUGGCUACGGGGUCUUCCUGUCCCCCAGUGGGAGCUACGGACUUCCCCGAAAUCACUAUCUAGGAAAGGCAGGUUUAAAGGCCAGCAGGAAAUGGAUCAUUUAUGUCUUUAGCUCCUAGCUUGGUGCCUUUGGCCGCUGAAAUGUGUACAGUCCUGUGGGUGGACUUGGGUUUAACCCGAUGAAUUGUGGGAACCGAAACAAAUGCAUGACAGAACCACGUGCGGGUGAGGGCUGCUUUUCUUACUAAGCCAGAAGAACAUGGCUGCCGGGAAGACUACAGAAACAGGGUGAGAGGGGUCACUGAAUAAAGGUACUUGCUGCCUUGUUUGAAGACCUGAGUUCUGUCUCCAGGCCCCACGUGGUAGAAGGAGAGAGCCUGCUAAGAAUGCAAGUUGUCCUCUGGCUCCAACACUUUCAUGAGUGUGCGCACGCUCACGGUAAAUAAAGAAACGUAAUUUUACGUUAUUGAAAGGUUAAAAAAACCUUUUCAAUAAUGAAAAGAUGGUGUCGUAUUUUCAUAAAACCUAUAUCCAUCCUGCACAUCCUUUUUGGUUUGAGACAGUGUGUCACCGUGUGGCCCAAAUUGACCUGCCACUCACUUCAGGUGACCCAGGGUAGCUUCUUCUGAGUUCCAAUAAUUCUGCCUCAGCCUUGUGAGGGCUGGGAUUCCAGUGGAUAACACUGUCCUUCAAAAGCUAUGAUGGAGCCUGGUGGUGGUGGUUCAUGCCUUUAAUACCAGCAGGGAUGCAGAGGUAGGUGGGUCUUGCCAUUCACAGUCAGCCUGGCCUACAGAGUGAGUUGUAGGACAGCCAAAGUCACACAGAGAAACCCUGCUUCCUCCUCCAACAAGCCCUCUCUGCUCCUUCCGAGGCUAGCCUUUCCCUCCAGCCCCUUAUGCCCCUCUUUUCUCCUGAGGUCGAUGCUGUCUGUGGCCCAGGAUGGUCAGUACCUUGGAAUCCUUCCAUAGUUAAGAUUGCAGUCUCGAGCUGCGGGUAAGGUCCUAGUAGAACAGACUGAGCCCAGUAGUCUCCUCUGCUCCACCUAUGGGUAUUCACCAGACUUUCCAAAGGAGACAUUCUUCAGGGCAUUUCCCAGGUGGUCCACAAAGCCCAGGAAGUGACUCUUGGCUCUCCUCCUGCCACAGCCCAGCCUCUCCUUGCCCUUCUUUAUACCCUUUGGGAAGCCCCAGGCCUUUCUCCCACUGAUGAAAUUCGAAGGAAUCUGGGUAGGAGGUUGGGCCAGUGGGAAGAAAGCUGGCUGGAACCAGUUUGAGUAUUGCUUUUACUAGGGGCAGGCAGUGGGGCAGAACAUUCCCAGCCAAUCCUGAUCCACAAACUUCAACCUCAGUGUCCUGGCCCAGACUCACCCUAUGUGUCCCAAAGUUCCUGGGUUCAGGAGGGCUCUUUCCUCCUCCUUCUAAGUCUGCUAUUUUUACCACUGGAGGGUAAUGGAAACAAUGCCUAGAUUAACAAUGCAGUUUGUGGUGAAUUGGCCAUUUAAAUUUUUUUUUGUUUAUUUAUAUAUCUGUGUGUGUGUGUGUGUGUGUGUGUGUGUGUGUGUUGCAUGUGCCAUGCUCCUACAUGGAGCACCCAAUCUGUGAUGGAGGAAAAGACUGGUUUUUCGCUCAAGCAUGAGGACCUGAGUUCAAAUUCCAAGCAUUCAUGUAAAAGCCUGGCACAGCAGUGAAUGAUUUUUUUUU